GUCUGGUUCAUUCAGUAAACGCUCAAGGGACUGUAUUUUAUAAUUGUAUUGAUUGUAUUAUGUGAAAGUAUUUACAACGUGAGUUUUAGACUGUUAAACAUUCCGAUUGUCUCGCUACGAUCUGACAGCAACAAUGACAUUCAAUCACUCCCUAGCUAUUUGAUUACCCUACCAAAUUACAAUGUGUCACUGUGACGUAUCAAUUUACACAUACAAAGACUUAUUUACGAUUUAGUUUGAAUUACGUCAAUCACAAUACUGAUAUAUUACAUGAAGUAUAUAUAUUUAAAGUUGAAUGAAUUGGCGGCGCAACGCUGAGAACCUACGAUACAGG